rnacentral:rRNA from 1 species
UAGGGAAUAUUGGACAAUGGGCGCAAGCCUGAUCCAGCCAUGCCGCGUGGGUGAAGAAGGCCUUCGGGUUGUAAAGCCCUUUUGUCCGGAAAGAAAAGUUCCCGGUUAAUACCCGGGGAUCCUGACGGUACCGGAAGAAUAAGCACCGGCUAACUUCGUGCCAGCAGCCGCGGUAAUACGAAGGGUGCAAGCGUUACUCGGAAUUACUGGGCGUAAAGCGUGCGUAGGUGGUUGUUUAAGUCUGAUGUGAAAGCCCUGGGCUCAACCUGGGAAUGGCAUUGGAUACUGGGCAGCUCGAGUGCGGUAGAGGGGUGUGGAAUUCCCGGUGUAGCAGUGAAAUGCGUAGAGAUCGGGAGGAACAUCAGUGGCGAAGGCGACACCCUGGACCAGCACUGACACUGAGGCACGAAAGCGUGGGGAGCAAACAGG